rnacentral:rRNA from 1 species
AGGCUCCUCCAGGCUGUUCAAGUGAUUAUUUGAACAGUGUGGUGGAGUACUCGAGCGGCGGACGGCUGAGUAACACGUAGGAACGUACCCCAAACUGAGGGAUAACUGCUCGAAAGAGUAGCUAAUACCGCAUGUGGUCUUCGGAUUAAAGCUUUACGCGGUUUGGGAACGGCCUGCGCAUGAUUAGCUUGUUGGUGAGGUAAUGGCUCACCAAGGCUAUGAUCAUUAGCUGGUCUGAGAGGAUGAUCAGCCAGACUGGGACUGAGAACGGCCCAGACUCCUACGGGAGGCAGCAGUAGGGAAUUUUCCACAAUGGGCGAAAGCCUGAUGGAGCAACGCCGCGUGCAGGAUGAAUGCCUUCGGGUUGUAAACUGCUUUUAUCUGUGACGAUUUUGACGGUAGCAGAUGAAUAAGGAUCGGCUAACUCCGUGCCAGCAGCCGCGGUCAUACGGAGGAUCCAAGCGUUAUCCGGAAUUACUGGGCGUAAAGAGUUGCGUAGGUGGCACUGUAAGUUGGUAGUGAAAGCGUGCGGCUCAACCGCAUACACAUUACCAAAACUGCAGAGCUAGAGGGCGAGAGAGGUAAUUGGAAUUCCUAAUGUAGGGGUAAAAUCCGUUGAUAUUAGGAGGAACACCGAUGGCGUAGGCAGAUUACUGGCUCGUUCCUGACACUAAGGCACGAAAGCGUGGGGAGCAAACAGGAUUAGAUACCCUGGUAGUCCACGCUGUAAACGAUGGAUGCUAGCUGUUAUCGGUAUCG